rnacentral:rRNA from 1 species
AUUGAACGCUGGCGGCAUGCCUUACACAUGCAAGUCGAACGGUAACAGGUCUUCGGAUGCUGACGAGUGGCGAACGGGUGAGUAAUACAUCGGAACGUGCCUAGUAGUGGGGGAUAACUACUCGAAAGAGUGGCUAAUACCGCAUGAGAUCUACGGAUGAAAGCAGGGGAUCGCAAGACCUUGUGCUACUAGAGCGGCCGAUGGCAGAUUAGGUAGUUGGUGGGAUAAAAGCUUACCAAGCCGACGAUCUGUAGCUGGUCUGAGAGGACGAUCAGCCACAUUGGGACUGAGACACGGCCCAGACUCCUACGGGAGGGAGCAGUGGGGAAUUUUGGACAAUGGGCGCAAGCCUGAUCCAGCAAUGCCGCGUGCAGGAUGAAGGCCUUCGGGUUGUACACUGCUUUUGUACGGAACGAAAAGCCCUGGGUUAAUACCCUGGGGUCAUGACGGUACCGUAAGAAUAAGCACCGGCUAACUACGUGCCAGCCGCCGCCGUAA